AUGUCGCGGGAUGUGCUGGUGCUGGGUGGAGGACCCGGUGGUCAGGCCGUGUGGGCUCACAAGAGAUAUCUCGCUGCCUCCGGCUGCACAUGCAUUCUCAAGAUUUCGUAAGUGCUUCCGCAUCUGCACAAUGGCUGGCAGGUAGACCAGGCCAUCCUUUCAGAGGACUGUGUGGUCUUCAUUCGCUUUGGACAUGACUGGGACUCCACUUGCAUAAAGAUGGACGAGGUUCCGUACGGCAUCGCAGAAAAGAAAUGGAAGAUAGUGGGAGACCUUCCUCAUCUUGUGAGUCCUGUUUGGAUACCCCAGCUGUUUUAAAGCAAACUGUGCUGGUGUCGCUUGUGCUCUGUGGCAUCCUCUUUGAUUCUGCGGAGUCUGACAGGCCUAU